AUUGAACGCUGGCGGCAUGCUUUACACAUGCAAGUCGAACGGUAACAGGCCGCAAGGUGCUGACGAGUGGCGAACGGGUGAGUAAUGCAUCGGAACGUGCCCAGUCGUGGGGGAUAACGCAGCGAAAGCUGCGCUAAUACCGCAUACGAUCUAUGGAUGAAAGCGGGGGACCGUAAGGCCUCGCGCGAUUGGAGCGGCCGAUGUCAGAUUAGGUAGUUGGUGGGGUAAAGGCUCACCAAGCCAACGAUCUGUAGCUGGUCUGAGAGGACGACCAGGCACACUGGGACUGAGACACGGCCCAGACUCCUACGGGAGGCAGCAGUGGGGAAUUUUGGACAAUGGGCGCAAGCCUGAUCCAGCGAUGCCGCGUGCAGGAAGAAGGCCUUCGGGUUGUAAACUGCUUUUGUACGGAACGAAACGGCUCUCUCUAAUACAGGGGGCCCAUGACGGUACCGUAAGAAUAAGCACCGGCUAACUACGUGCCAGCCGCCGCCGUAAGAC
rnacentral:rRNA from 1 species